UACGUAGGGGGCAAGCGUUGUCCGGAUUUAUUGGGCGUAAAGAGCUCGUAGGCGGUCCAGUAAGUCGGGUGUGAAAUCUUCAGGCUUAACCUGGAGCUGCCAUCCGAUACUGCUGUGGCUUGAGUCCGGUAGGGGCCCACGGAAUUCCUGGUGUAGCGGUGAAAUGCGCAGAUAUCAGGAGGAACACCGAUGGCGAAGGCAGUGGGCUGGGCCGGCACUGACGCUGAGGAGCGAAAGCGUGGGGAGCGAACAGG
rnacentral:misc_RNA from 1 species